rnacentral:rRNA from 1 species
CUACGGGCGGCACCAGUGAGGAAUAUUGGUCAAUGGGCGAAAGCCUGAACCAGCCAAUCCGCGUGCAGGAUGACUGCCCUAUGGGUUGUAAACUGCUUUUAUACAGGAAGAACUCUCCAUACGUGUAUGGGGCUGACUGUACUGUAAGAAUAAGCAUCGGCUAACUCCGUGCCAGCAGCCGCUGUAAUACGGAGGAUGCAAGCGUUAUCCGGAUUUAUUAGGUCUAAAGGGUGCGUAGGCGGAUGAUUAAGUCAGUGGUGAAAUCCUACAGCUUAACUGUAGAACUGCCAUUGAUACUGGUUGUCUUGAGUUUAGUUGAGGUAGGCGGAAUGUGUAGUGUAGCGGUGAAAUGCUUAGAUAUUACACAGAACACCGAUUGCGAAGGCAGCUUACUAAGCUACAACUGACGCUGAGGCACGAAAGCGUGGGGAGCGAACAGGAUUAGAUACCCCAGUAGUC